GGGUUAUAGUCUACAUAUUAUUUUGCAACUUGUUUUUUAAACAGUAUGCCACGAACAACCUCUGUUCUCCUUUAGUCCUUUUGACAGCUGCGUGGUAUUCCACAGCCUAUCCCAGCCAUGUGCAUGCUGCAGUCAGCACACUUGCUCAAGCAUUUCUGCAGGACACUGUCCUAAAAGUGGGAUGGGUAGCUCUAAGAGUAUGUGCCUUCCUAAAUGGGAGGGAUUUUAUCCAAUUGCCCCACCACCCCCAAGCGCUGCAGUCCCACCAGAGCACACUCUUGCUCGUAACCUCAUCGGCACUUGGUAUUAUUGACCCUUUACGCAUUUCCCAAUGUAAAUGGGGCCUGUGAACAGAGCUUGAACAAAAUGCAGUCUGUGGGGCCCCCAGGAGCCUCCACUUUCCUGUUUUCCAGAUGAGAGAAAGUGGGGAGGCAGAGAGGAGUGGUCUCUGUCAGCAACGUGCAAGGAGAAAGACAGAGACACAGGCUGGGGCUUCCACCCUUGCAGUGGUCGUGGGAAGGGGCUCAGUGACAAGAAGGGCAGGAAGGGGCUUUCCCAUGCCAGUGCAGUGCCUGGGACCCAGCAGCCCCACCUAGGAAGCCAGAAGGGCUGGAUAAUGCCGUGGCUCUGGAGUCGUCUCUCCUGGAAAAAGGCUACCACAGUUCCGGACCUCCAUCCACAGACCACACCGUCCAAGCUAAUGGCCAACUCCCAGUCAUCCCUCAGGCCUCCGUGGAGUCUCUUCUCCCUGCAGAGAGCUCUCCCCGGCUGCCCGGGGCUGGCUUAGCUGCCCCUCUCCAUGUGCCUCUCCAGCACCAUGCAUCAAGCUGUGAAGACUUUGUCCACCGUUUUUAAUCGCUUGACUGCCUCUCUGUGUAUCACCCAGGCUUCUAGAAGCUGCAAUGUGUCAGAACCUUGCUUCCCUUGCUAUCACUGCAUGCUUGAAACCUGGAACAGAAUGUGUUGCAUAAAUAUGUUGACUGUCACUGG
rnacentral:lncRNA from 1 species